CACGCUCUUUCUUCAAGCUUUCGGCUCAGGCUUCAGUGCUCGGCAAGUGCAGUUACGUCUGACAUUGCAAGAGCUCACCUCGGCAGACAAAAUCACGUCUCAAGUCCAGAAGGAAGAAAAAUUGAUUGCUGAUGAAUUAGCUGCAGCAGGUAUGCCUCUUGGUAAGGCCGAAUUUAGUGCCGAUAUUUUUUGAUUGCUUCCUCUAGAGUAUCAUCCUAUCAUCACUGCUGUUUCUACUCGAAGGGAUCAUGUCUCUUUUCAUGAGCCAUCGGGGCAGUAAGUUGCUCAUGAAAUAUUUCUCAAGAGCUCUAAAACCUCUAUCAAUUCUGGUGGUAAUGUUGCAAGACAAGAGCCAUCCAUCAAUUCUGUUCACACCACAAAUCAGAGGAACAUGAAAUUUUCCCAACAGUAGUAGUCCACCAAUAAAGGCAAUCGCUAGUUCUUUAAGUCAUCUCGUCAAAUCAGUGGCUUACGCAAUCACGCUACAAAGUGGUGCAGAAAGCCUCAUGACAAGGACGAUGACACCCUUGGGGCAAAUAUGGCUGUUUCUAGCAACACUUCUGACUGGUUCCCAAACACUGCUGCUACUCAUCACAAAACUCCUGACUUAGCAAGUCUGUAGAUUUCUGAAGAGUACAAAGGACGAGAGAACCCACAAAACCUUACGAAAAGGACCAGCUGAAGAUGGAAUCUAUCGAAUUCCUUGGAUCGCACUACCGUCACUUCAACAAGGAUCAAAAGCCAUCAUCAGAGUGAGAAUCAGCUUGGAGGAUUGGCAGGCGGGUUUGGGAAGUCUGCAAUUUCCAUCAGUCUGAUCUGUUAUCAAGAAUAUCCAGUUGCCUUGUUCUAAUUCCCUAAAAGUAUCUAAGCAAAAAUGUACUUUAUAUUGCUUAGGGAAGUUUAGUAGGAUUACUCUACCUGGUACAGGAUCACUUACAAAUGAACCAUUAUCCUUAGUUCAUGUUGAUUUCUAGGGUCCUCCACCCUUUUUAUCAUUCAUCGGAGAACGUUAUAAUUUCUUGGUUCUUUUUUUUUUAUGAAUGCACCAAUUUUUCUUGGCAAUAUCUUAUUAAUCAAAGGAGUGAUGUGUUACAAGUU